rnacentral:rRNA from 1 species
UACGUAGGGGGCAAGCGUUGUCCGGAAUCAUUGGGCGUAAAGAGCGUGUAGGCGGCCAGAAAAGUCCGCUGUGAAAACUCGAGGCUCAACUUCGAGCUGUCGGUGGAAACUUUCUGGCUAGAGUCCGGAAGAGGAGAAUGGAAUUCCUGGUGUAGCGGUGAAAUGCGCAGAUAUCAGGAGGAACACCAAUGGCGAAGGCAGCUCGCUGGGACGGUACUGACGCUGAGACGCGAAAGCGUGGGGAGCAAACAGG